rnacentral:rRNA from 1 species
GAACGGCAGCACGGGAGCAAUCCUGGUGGCGAGUGGCGAACGGGUGAGUAAUACAUCGGAACGUGUCCUGGAGUGGGGGAUAGCCCGGCGAAAGCCGGAUUAAUACCGCAUACGCUCUGAGGAGGAAAGGGGGGGAUCUUCGGACCUCUCGCUCAAGGGGCGGCCGAUGGCAGAUUAGCUAGUUGGUGGGGUAAAGGCCUACCAAGGCGACGAUCUGUAGCUGGUCUGAGAGGACGACCAGCCACACUGGGACUGAGACACGGCCCAGACUCCUACGGGAGGCAGCAGUGGGGAAUUUUGGACAAUGGGCGCAAGCCUGAUCCAGCAAUGCCGCGUGUGUGAAGAAGGCCUUCGGGUUGUAAAGCACUUUUGUCCGGAAAGAAAACCUCUGUCCUAAUACGAUGGGGGGAUGACGGUACCGGAAGAAUAAGCACCGGCUAACUACGUG